rnacentral:rRNA from 1 species
AAUGAACGCUGGCGGCAUGCCUAACACAUGCCAGUCGAACGAAGGCUUCGGCCUUAGUGGCGCACGGGUGCGUAACGCGUGGGAAUCUGCCCUUGGGUUCGGAAUAACAGUUAGAAAUGACUGCUAAUACCGGAUGAUGUCGUAAGACCAAAGAUUUAUCGCCCAAGGAUGAGCCCGCGUAGGAUUAGCUAGUUGGUGGGGUAAAGGCCUACCAAGGCGACGAUCCUUAGCUGGUCUGAGAGGAUGAUCAGCCACACUGGGACUGAGACACGGCCCAGACUCCUACGGGAGGCAGCAGUGGGGAAUAUUGGACAAUGGGCGAAAGCCUGAUCCAGCAAUGCCGCGUGAGUGAUGAAGGCCUUAGGGUUGUAAAGCUCUUUUACCCGGGAUGAUAAUGACAGUACCGGGAGAAUAAGCGCCGGCUAACUUCGUG